GCAUAAAUAAUCAAACCCAAAAAAUAAAAGAUACAAGAUUCAUCCAUGAACAAGACAAGAUUCUUAGCUAUUUACGAAUGCACAAUGCUUCCUGAUCUCUCCCUCUGUCCCUGUCUUCACAUUAAUUCUUCCCAUUUUCUCUAUGGAGGUUGCAAACUCAGCAGAGAAAUUUUCAACUGUCCCUUCAAGCAAUUGGAUGAUUUGAGACUUUGUAACUGAGUUAGUCAACAAUGCAGCAUCUGAUUCAAAUAGACCCCUUCUCUUAAUAACGUGACUAUAGUAGCUAAGAUCAAAUGUCUUGCGACUUCCAGGGUCCAUCUCAAUUUUUGUGGUGUUCAAUUUACUGAGGUCCUUGCACUUGAAGGCUUUCAGAUUUGCAGCAUAUUCACUGUCUAGUGAAGGGUCUUGAUCACCCUUGCCAGUGAAAUUGAACAAGCGGUUUGAUAAUGAUGAACAAUGAGCGAUACCAAUUGUGUGAGCACCUGAAACAAUUUGAACUCUUGCUCAUUACUAGCACAAGAACAAUUCAUAAUUCACACCAAUUUAUUGGUUUUUAUAGAGGCGCAAAAUUCAGAUACUAACAACGUUUUAAUCUUAAAAACAAAUUGACGAGUCUGAAUGAUAAGAACAAGACCCUCAUUUUUAUCUUUAUCUAAACAGCAUUCUAAAGCUUUGAAAGAUAAUUAACUAAUUCCUAAAAACAAAUUUAUCCAUUUCAAACUCCAAAUAUUUAGGUAUAUUUUCAAUCAGGAUUACAUAUGUUUUUAGUUAUUUAAAUUUAGGAUAAAUCUGUUUUCUGUCCUCCAAAUAUAAAAUUAAGCUUUUGUCCAUAUUACUUGAAAAAAAAAUUGUUUCAGUCCCUAUGCUCAAAAUGGAAAAUCAAAGUGAGUUGUCAUGUAAACAAGUUAUAAUUUGUUGGCUACAUCAUAAGCAACGUUUAUGCAGAGACACUAAAACAGAUAUUCUUCAAAUUACAUGAAGUAAAAAGAUCAAUUUUAAACUUAGGAAGACCAAAAGUAAACUUGUUCCAAAAUUGAGGGACUCAAAAACGUGUUAGUCUUUCAACAAUAAUGCUUAGGAAUUUGUUUCAUAAAUGAUACCAGAGAGCAGGACCAAGUCCUUCAAAUCAAGUCCUUGGUUGGCAAAGAGUGUCUGUAGCGUAGUGAUGUUGUCAAAUGGAGCAGGAAUGUUAUUUCUGGCUUCCACCAAGUUAGAGAUGACCCCAUCCCUUCGACCUGUUGGAACUUUCCAAUAGGGUCCACCCUGAACACCAAUGUCAGUAAUGGCAUAAACCAGCAAAUGGGUCAUCUUGUUCUCAAAAAGAAAGUGUAAAGAUAAUAAAGGUGAAGCAGAAGUUGUGCUUAUACUCUUAAGAUUUUCCUGAUAGCAAUUGAGUACUUACUGUGGCUACAAUAGUGUCUCUGGCAGCCAAAGUGAGGAUAUCAGCACAAGAGACCACACCAGGGCAUUCAGCUUCAACAAGGCUCUUUAUUCUGUCAAUGAAGUCAAAGCCUCUUACUGUGAGAUUUGGAGGAGCAUUCUUCUCAGCCUGAUUGGUUGUUGAGUUCAGAAGGACUGAUCCAUCACAUCCCUGAAAUACUUCAUCUUAGUUAGUUCUUUAAUCUAACAUAUAUGGUACUUGUUAAGUAAAAAAUGAAAGAAAAUUAUAGGCUUGAACCACAUACCCUUACAAAACAAUCAUGGAAAUGCAUUCUUAUCAAUGCAGCUGCUAGUGAUGGAGCAUUGUGGAUAUGCUCAUGAACAAAUUUCAAAAUGAUUUUCUCAGCUUUUGGGCAGCUCUGGGCAUAAAAACCAAGCUGAAGUUGGGCAUGAGUUGAUGCAAUCAAUGCCAAGAGGCAAAGACUCAAAAACCUCAAGUUGCUUCCCAUUUUCAUGUAGCUGGCAGAAAUCCUAGAAGCUUGAGUGACUAUAUAUUACGAAUAAUAAACACUCAGAUGCUUCUUGAAAGAGGCAAUUCCAUUUCUCUUUGCUGUUUCCACAACACUGAUCAGUGAUAUAUAGUCCUUAAGUUAAGCUACAAGACACAUCACAAAUCAUACAGAUGGUCCAUGCAGCUAACUAACAUGUGCGAUAAGGUGAUGCUACAUGCUACUUUAUUAUCCAUUUGCAUGUAAUAAUUGUAUCUAGUCUCUAAUAAAAAAAUGAUUAGUUGGCUGCUGUGACCUUAUAUGGACAAAUUAAUAUAUAGCGAGUUCAAAAUAGUUGAAUUUCUGAAUCCUUCAGUACACAUCAAUAGAUUUUACAUUUUAGUACUGAAUUUACGAGAUACUGGAUGUUGAUACGUUCUUCAAGCAUAGGAUACUAUACAAAAUCUCCCUCUUUGUAUCAUAUUUUUGUAGCUUUAAUCUGCUUGUAUAGAUACUAGUACCAUUUUAAACAAGAGUUUAGUUUACGUAAGAUAUUUUUAUGUCAACAUGUAAUAGAAAUAUUUACCUUGCAUUGUGUAAAAAUAUUUUAUAGUAACAAUGUAUAUACAUUAAAUACUUUAAACAGUAUGCGGCGGCUUAACAUAUAUAACAAGUAAUCCUUGAAUAUCUCGCAAUUCAAAAAUAUAAUGUAGUCUCAACAGGGAAUUUAAGAAUAAAAAAUUGGCUUACCUGCUCCUUUACUGUGAAUCCAUUACUAUAAUCGCUAUGCACAUUGAGGCAGCGAUAUUUGACAAGGAAUAUGAGUCAUGUAUCCCUACAGGGCUGGUUUUGUGAUGUAACUCAUUGUGUCUGCUCAAUGAUACAGUGUCAUCAUUUUCUUUGAGACUGAAACUUUAGCUGUAAAGUAUAAAUCCUUGACACUUUCCGGUAUUAGCUCCCUUGAAAUCUAUGGACAUAUAUCAUCGGCAUGUUUUUAUAAUAUUAAGAGCUUACUGUAUGUAGCUAAUUUGUUUUUGUUCAAUUCUUCCUAGCCAUAUGUGAUGCCUUGUUUGCUUCCAUUAAAACAAUGCUUGAAUAUUACAAUUUAUAGGUAUAGCCAUUGAAUAUAUAAAAAAAAGGUAUAGCCAUUGAAGUAAACUGAGCAUUAAAAUUAUAAUUUAAAUUUGGUUAAAUUACUCAGUAGUGUAUUUAUAAAAAAGAGUAUACUAUUUUUUUCUUUGAAUCUUGAUAAUUAAUAUCCUUUUGACACAAUAUAUUUUUCUUCAUUUGAAUUGAUAAUGAAUUAUUUUUAUUUCUUAUUCAAUUUAUGCCACUGGCACCUACUAAUUAGUAAUCAAAUUAACCGAAAUUAGAUCUGUCAGUAUCAUUCUGACUAAGAUUUUUUCUUUUUUUAUCUAUACAAGUUAAAAUUUUAGGUAUGAACUAUUUGAGAAUUUUCAAAUAGGUGUUUAUACUCUGUUUUUUUUUUCUUCAAUUGGGUCCUUAAUGGUAGCUGGAGACAAGAGAUUUUUAUGAGAAAACUUAAGGAACUUAUGCUUGAACUUCUACAAAUAAAAGCACAUUAACAACCAUUUGAUCCCAUCAAAGUUUGCAUUGAAUCCCUUAUGCACUAAUGAAUGCAAACAAAUAUCAUGCUUUUCUAUUAAAAAAAGGUUGGAAAGCCUAUUGACCUAAUUUUUAUUAUGAAUAAAAAAAUAAAUUAAAAUAUGUUUUGAAUUCUUAUAAAUAUCAAAAUAUUUAAAAUGUUUGAAAUUUAUCCAAUUAAAAUUUUGACUUUUUUUCAUUCUCAUAAAAUUGAAAUGUAAUUUUUUGGCUUAAAUAUCAGUUCGAAUAAAUUCAAAUUCAAACUUAUGUAUCAUUAUUUCAUUGUUGAUCCUGUGCAUUAACAACUGUCACAAAAUACAUACAAACUCCACAAAUUAAUAAACCCUUAUUUCCAAACCUUCUUCAUCCAUAGCCUCACCACGGCACGAUCUCCCUCUGGCCCAAAUCCACCACCUACCAACUCACUCCGGCACGACCCCAACCACGCCGCCACGACCAGCUACCGCGGAUUCAGAUCCAUACCUCACUUAGCAACUCAAUUCGUUCAAGAGUUGGAACUAACUUUCCGUACAUAACCAAGCAACUUCCUGUUGUGCAUCAUAUUUGGCACCAUAUGUAGUUGCUUUUAUACCCAAGGUAGAAUCAAGUGCAAUAGAGCUGCCAAAAGAUACAAAAGAUUUACAUGCAAUGACAACACAGCUCAUUGUUUACAUCAAGAUACGGCCUAGUUACCGUUUUUCCUUUGUUUAGCCCUAAAACAUUAAUCUUUAUGAACACACGAUUGUAUCUUAUCCGGUUCUCCAUUAACAAUAACAUUCAUAUUACCUUUCCGGAAACUUAAUGUCGUCUUACCUCCCUUGAAGAUGAUAUUUUUAGCAUAUGUUCAGAGAGUAGGAGUUAUAAUAAAAUUAUUAGCUUCUGCAUUUGGUUGUUGGUGGAUGAGAGGUUCAUAUUUGUGGCAAUUUUUUUUAUUCAGACGGUAUUUAAUCCAGGAAAAUCAUAUUUUAAAAUUUAAAUUAAAAAUUGUAAGUUUAGAUUUGUUCUAAUUUAUGUCUGGAUUAAACAAUAACAUAUUUCAAUUUUGUGGAAACAGAAAAGCUAUUCAAAAUUUCAGAGGAAUAAAUUUUAAACAUUUUAAUAUUUAUAAAAACAAAAAAUAUAUUUUAACCAAAAAAAAAAUAAGUAUACAGGCAUUUUCAACCCAUUUCAGUAGAAAGGAAGAGUAGGCGCUCUAUUAAGUAACAUGGGAUUUCCCUGCAUAACAUGUUGAAGUGUUUCCUAUACAAUGAUUCUUUUUCUUGAAUUUUACUCUUAGAAAUUUCUAUCCUAGAAUUAAAAUAUUUUUGAAUUAGACCACGAAUUAGAAAUUAAUGGAACAGUUCUAUUGCUAUUUUGCAGUGCAAUCCAAAAACAAGGUUGAUUUCUGGGACGUGAUCUAGCUUGUUUUCCUGCCAACAGGCGUGCUUGGUUUCCGGUUUCCCGUUUCCCGUUCUCUCUUUGUCUAAGGCUAAGAAUAUGGUUAUUUUCAAAUCUAUUUAAAAGAAAUUUAAUCGAGUCUCUAAGAUUUUGUGGUAGUUUCAAGCUAUCUUAAACUAACUAAAGGGACUUAUUUUUUAGUUUAGGGUUCUAAUUUUUUAAAGGCGUUUAGGGUUCUAAUUUAAAAAUAAAAAUAGUUUAAGAGCAUAUACUUAAAAUUUUCCAAAUAGUUUAAUUUAUUGAGCAAUUAAACCUUUAAAUUUUAGAUCAUAUUGAUAUAUAUUAAUCAUGAGUUUAUAUUGUUAGUGGUUUGGUUGUAGCUUCCCCUGUUGAAUUAAGUUCUCUAGCUAAUAAGUCCUAACUUACUUUUGUACUGUCAAAAAAAAAAAAAAAAACUUACUUUUAGCAGAAAGAAAUAUAGAUAAUUGUUCACAAUUUUUUUGAACAAAUCAUGUCUCGAUCACAAGGCUAAACAAUGAUUUUUUUUUUCACUGGCUUCUCCUGCAUUUGCUUCAGUAAUAGGGACCAAGGGAAUAAAACCAUGGCUUAUAUUGACAUAGAAUUUCUAUGGCUGACUAGCUGAGAAAAUCUACUUCACGUUACUUCAUCUGUCAUUGUCUAUCAAUAUCAUCGUCUAUAUUAUAUAUUACUAAAACUUGCAGUUACUAUUUGUUAUCUUCUCACAAAAUAGAUACUUUACCUUAUAACGAACCUUCAAUUAGUCGAAUUAAUUAUUUCAUUUAUAAAAAUAUAAAACAAAAUUCGCAAUCGAUUCAACGUAUGUUCUGUAUUUUUGUUGUAUAAUUAUACAAAAAUAAAGAUGGCUGAUUGUUAAUGAAGAAUAUUAUGUAAACACGGAUUAUCUGAAUAUUACUUUAACUAAUUAUGACUUAAACUAAUCGAGAAGCUAAUUCCUUUGACUAUAACUCUUUAGCUGGGGUUAAUAUAUCUAAUUCUAAACCUUUAGCUUAUCUAUUUGGCUUUUGUCUACUUAAAAGCAGGUCUGUUCCUGGUGUAAAACGAAAUUUUUAAUAUAGAAACUUAAAGGUAAUUAAAACUAAGAUCGUGAUGUAAAAAGAAAAAUUAAAAACAAUUUACAAAGUGGGAGUUUUUAAAAAUAAAAAAUAAGUGUUAAAUAAUGAUAAAUUAUCAUUAUUUUAAAAAAUGUAUUAAAAAUCUUCACGUUUAAAAAUAGAAAUUCAAAUGUAUAAUACAUGAAUAGUUAAUUAUAAUUAUAUAAAAGUAAUGUUAGCAUGGUUACCAAAAAAAAAUAAUAUAAAAGCAAUGUUCGCACAUCCCUUUGCUUUUAUCUUAAAUUUAACACUGCACCUACACCCAGUAUGUGAAACAAUUAUUGGUCAACAAAGUUUGUUGUUCAAUUAACAAAGUUUUUCUUUUUUUCUUAAAAAACAUAUUAGUUCAUUCCCAAGUGAUAGACUUGAUCAAUAAUCAAUUUAUCAAUAACCAAGUAAAAUUUCUGAUCUAGAAGAAAUAUAUUUAUAGAACACGACCUCACAAGUACCACUUUGCCUAUAAUGGAUUGUGUUGUUUUAGCCUUGAAUAUUUCAUUCACAUUCUCUGUUAGUUUAAAAUAAAUGAACAAACAUUUAGCUUCAAUUAAACCAAAAAGGGAAUUAAAUUGAGAAUAGCAGUGAAAAAGUACAUAAAAAAAAAAGACUAGACAUAAAUUAACUCAGCUGUGGGUAGCACAAAAAAUUCUGGUUCUUAUUACAAGAGCAUGAUCUACCAGCAAAGUUGGAAAUAUGAAUAACAAUAGAGCCCACUUAUUCCAACACACAUACAACAACCAUACCAUAAAGGAUCACACGUAUGUAGACAGAGACCACAUGGCAUAGCAUAACUAAUCAAAAAACAUGGCAUAGCAUAAAUAAUCAAACCCCAAAAAAUAAAUGAUACAAGAUUCAUCCAUGAACAAGACAAGAUUCUUAGCUAUUUAUAAAUGCACAAUGCUUCCUGAUCUCUCCUUCUGUCCCUGUCUUCACAUUAAUUCUUCCCAUUUUCUCGAUGGAGGUUGCAAACUCAGCAAAGAAAUUUUCAACUGACCCUUCAAGCAAUUGGAUGAUUUGUGCCUUUGUAACUGAGUUAGUCAAUAAUGCAGCAUCUGACUCAAAUAGACCCCUUCUCUUAAUAACGUGACUAUAGUAGCUAAGAUCAAAUGUC
rnacentral:lncRNA from 1 species